rnacentral:rRNA from 1 species
CCUACGGGUGGCAGCAGUGAGGAAUAUUGGUCAAUGGCCGGAAGGCUGAACCAGCCAUGCCGCGUGAAGGUCAGUGCCCUAUGGGCGUUAAACUUCUUUUGUGCGGGAGCAAUAAUGGUCACGUGUGGCCAGACGAGAGUACCGUACGAAUAAGCAUCGGCUAACUCCGUGCCAGCAGCCGCGGUAAUACGGGGGAUGCAAGCGUUAUCCGGAUUUAUUGGGUUUUAAGGGUGCGUAGGCUGUGAGGUAAGUCAGCGGUGAAAUGCCCCCGCUCAACGGGGUGAAGUGCCAUUGAUACUGCCUGGCUGGAAUGCGGAUGCCGUGGGAGGAAUGUGGGGUGUAGCGGUGAAAUGCAUAGAUAUCACACAGAACACCGAUUGCGAAGGCAUCUCACGAAUCCGCGAUUGACGCUGAUGCACGAAAGCGUGGGUAUCAAACAGGAUUAGAUACCCUUGUAGU